GACGAACGCUGGCGGCGUGCUUAACACAUGCAAGUCGAGCGGAGCGGCGAACGGGUGAGUAACGCGCGAGUAACUGCCCCCCUCUCUGGGAUCACAGUCGGAAACGGCUGCCAAUACCGGAUUGUGGUGGAUGAUUCGCGUCCAAUCAGCUUGUUGGUGGGGUAGUGGCUUCCGAAGGGGACGACGGGUAGCCGGCCUGAGAGGGCGACCGGCCACAAUGGGCUGAGGUACGGCCCAGACUGCUACGGUGGGCAACAGUGGGGAAUCUUGCCCAGUGGGGGAAACCCUGAUGCAGCGGCGCCGCGUGCGGGAUGACGGCCUUCGGGUUGUAAACCGCUUUCAGCCAAGACGCGGUAGUGACAGAAAAAGCACCGGCUAACUACGUGCCAGCAGCCGCGGUAAUAC
rnacentral:rRNA from 1 species